rnacentral:tRNA from 1 species
UAGUGAGAAAUAAAAUUUAUAUUUAGUUUCGACCUAAAAAUUUGAUCAUUUGAUCCUUACU